rnacentral:ncRNA from 1 species
GGUCUGGUCCUAGCCUUACUAUUAAUUCGCAGCAAAAUUACACAUGCAAGUGUCAGCGCCCCAGUGAGAAUGCCCUCUAGUUCUUCACUAGACCAAAAGGAGCUAGCAUCAAGUACACUAGCCACAACUAGUAGCUCACAACGCUUUGCUCAACCACGCCCCCACGGGACACAGCAGUGAUAAAAAUUAAGCAAUGAGCGAAAGCUCGACUAAGUUAUGCUGCCACACAGGGUUGGUAAAUUUCGUGCCAGCAACCGCGGUCAUACGAUUGACCCAAAUUAAUAGCUUCCGGCGUAAAGCGUGUUUUAGACAUUUCCCCCCCCAAUAAAGUUAAACUCCUGCUAUGCUGUAAAAAGCCCCAGCAGAAGCUAAAAUACCCCACGAAAGUGACUUUAACAAGUCUGAAGACACGAUAGCUAGGACCCAAACUGGGAUUAGAUACCCCACUAUGCCUAGCCCUAAACUAAGAUAGCUUUCAAACAAAGCUAUCCGCCAGAGUACUACUAGCAACAGCUUAAAACUCAAAGGACUUGGCGGUGCUUUAUAUCCUCCUAGAGGAGCCUGUUCUGUAAUCGAUAAACCCCGCUACACCUGACCGCCCCUUGCUAAUACAGUCUAUAUACCGCCAUCUUCAGCAGACCCCAAUAGGGAACCACAGUGAGCACAAUAAUUCACACAAAAACGUUAGGUCAAGGUGUAGCCUAUGGGGUGGGAAGAAAUGGGCUACAUUUUCUAAAUAAUAGAACACUCUACGAAAACCUUAAUGAAAACUCUUAAGCAUGAGGCGGAUUUAGUAGUAAAUUAAGAAUAGAGAGCUUAAUUGAAUCAGGCCAUAAAGCACGCACACACCGCCCGUCACCCUCUUCAACUAUCCAAGCCAAUAACAAACAUAAUACCUAGUCAGCAACCAUAUGAGAAGAGACAAGUCGUAACAAGGUAAGCAUACUGGAAAG